UACGUAGGGUGCGAGCGUUAAUCGGAAUUACUGGGCGUAAAGCGUGCGCAGGCGGUCUUGUAAGACAGAGGUGAAAAUCCCCGGGCGUCAACCUGGGAACGUGCCUUUGUUGACUGCAAGGCUUGAGUACGGCAGAGGGGGAGUGGAAUUCCGCGUGUAGCAGUGAAAUGCGUAGAUAUGCGGAGGAACACCGAUGGCGAAGGCAGUCCCCUGGGCCUGUACUGACGCUCAUGCACGAAAGCGUGGGGAGCAAACAGGAUUAGAUACCCC
rnacentral:rRNA from 1 species